GGAACCAAGAGGCAGAGGGGGAAGUCCUGGGUAUUUAAUUCCUCUGCCUUUGAUGUAGAUGGUCCAGUCCUGACUUUCCAGCUGAGUGGAGACUUGCUCUUGGUUUCCACAUGCAACAGUGACCUGCUUGAACCCCACAGGGAGGAAGAUGGAGGAUGCCUCACGAGUAUUGAGGGGUUUUACUGUCACCUAGGCUGGAGUGACAUCAUCAGAGUUCACUGCAGCCUCGAUCUGCUGGGCUCAAGCCAUCCUCCCACCUAAGCCUCCCGAAGAGCUAAGACCACAGGUGUGCACCACCACCCCAAGCUAAUUUUUGUAUUUUUAGUAGAGACAGGGUCUUGCCAUGUUGGCCAGGCUGGUCUCAAACUCCUGGGCUCAAGUGAUCUGCCCGCCUCAGCCUCCCAAAAUGCUGGGAUUACAGGCAUGAGCCACCAUGCCUGGCCAUGACCUAGUGGUUCUUGAAGUCUUUAAACCAGCCUUCACUUGCACUAAGAAAAAGUACUUCGAUGCACUUUUAAUUUUUUUUAAGUCUUCAUUUAUUAUCAUGCCUCUUCUUCUUUCAUUGUGAGAAAACUUGUGAGAUCUUUUUUUUUUCUUUUUUUUUUCUGAGAUGGAGUUUUGCUCUUGUUGCCCAGGCUGGAGUGCGGUGGCGCAAUCUCGGCUCACUACAACCUCCGCCUCCUGGGUUCCGGCAAUUCUCCUGCCUCAUCCUGCCUCAGCCUCUCAAGUGGCUGGGAUUACAGGCGUCCACCAGCACACCUGGCUAAUUUUUUUUUUUUAAGUAGAGACGGGGUUUCACCAUGUUGGCCAGGCUGGUCUUGAACUCCUGACCUCAGGUGAUCCACCCGCCUCAACCUCCCAAAAUGCUGGGAUUACAGGCAUGAGACACUGCGCCUGGCCAUGAGAUCAUUUUAAAACAUUAAUGUACUGGGAAGAAUCAAAUAUGAACUACAAGAUGUGUUAUAAACAUCACUCCCUUGUUUACUAACCGUGUAUGAGCUAAUUUGCAGCAAGGAUCAGGCAUUGUAACAGCCUCAUGAAGUUGUGAAGAUUAAACGAAGUGACACAUGUGAAUCAUUGAGGACAAUGCUGGGCAAAUAAUGCAGAGAUUCUUUUCUGCAGCUCAGACACCAGCCAGAAGAGACAACACAAAAAGAGAGAGAAAGAUGCUGUAUUCUUCCUACCUGUGUCCCAGAAUCCUGAACAGCCGCCGGUGUGCAGGGCCUGGUGGGAAGUGACGUUGCUGCAGAAGCUGCAGUGCUGACGAGGAGGGCAGCAUCCCUCAGAGAGAAGGACACCACAGAGAGUCCCUACCAGCCAGGAGGCUCUCACCAGAUGCGCCCCCUUGACCUUGGACCUCCUAGCUUCAAAAACUGUCAUACAAGACACUCUGUCUUGCUCUCUUGAAUUGCCUGCUCUGGUGGAAGCCAGCCAGCUUCUGCCAUGUCAUGAGAACACUCAUGCAGCCCUGGGAAGAGUCCACGUGGUGAGGAACUGAGGCCUCCUGCCAACAGCCAAGUGAAAGCACCAUCCUGGAAGAGGACCCUCCAGCCCUCAUUAAGUCUGUCAAGCCUUGAGAUGAAUGAACCAACACUAUGAAUGUAACUUCACGAGAGGCUCUGAGCCAGAACCACUCAGCUAAGCCACAGUUCUCUUUAGAAGACUAAAAAAAAGAAGAAGGCAGUUCUACCAAAUUGUUUCAGGCAUCUCUCUCCUCUUCUGCUAUGUGAGUAUAAUCAUGCUAAGCUUAUUUCUACUUUAAGCACAUUACCCUAGCUGUUCCUUUUUCCUAGGGAACUUUUCUCCCAGAUAUUUGCAAGACUAGCCUUCUCCUGUCACGUAGAUGUCAGCUUUCAAAUCCCGUCCUCAGAAAUGUCUUUCCUGUUUCUAAUCUGCAGUGGCCUUGUCCCCCCACUCCCAGCUCUCUUGUUUCACCAUCUUCUGUUUUCUUUGUGGCACCAUGUCUAUCAGAAAACAUAUUCUAUCUGAUAAUUCUGGUUUACUGCUUAUGUAUUUAUUGUCUGUGUUCCUUCACUAGAACACAAGUUUUGUAUUUAUCACUCUAGGCUUUUAUUGUCAACCAUGUUCGCAGGCUUUAGUGAUAGGGUAGGUGGAUUGGAGACGGGGAAGGAAAAGGGGAGGGGAACAAAAACCAAAACUGCCUGGACAGGGCAGAUGCCAAGAACACCUGGGGCAUGGAAUUAGGAAAGGGAGGUUUGUAGGUUUGUAGAGGAAACACUUCUGAAGGGCCACAAGAUGUGUGACAAUAAGAGGGGAAAAGAACAACACUUUUAAAGAAGUGCUAUUGGGUGUGUUUAUGUUCCUUGAGAGAUUCAGGAAAAGACGAAAGUACUCUUUAAUUAUUUUGAUUGCAGUAAUGUGUAUAUAUGACCAUGAUGCCCUAUGUAAAAAGUAGCCUGGAUUUCACAAUCCAAGAGGUAGGCCUUGUUAGAACACCGUCCUCUGCUGAAAUUCUGGUUUUGUGUAUCAGUCUCCAUAAAGGUAGUCCCUAGAAUAAUACAGAAUUACUUUUGGGUCUCUAUAACUAAGGAUUCUGGAACAGCCCCUCACUCUGCUGCCAGUGGGGCUAGACAGUACUCAGCACAUAAUGAGAACUGAAGAAAUGUUAUCUCCUAGGGAGACUGCAGUGUUCAUGAGCCAGGCAGAAGGAAGAUGGUAUAGAUGGUGCUGGGGAGGCAAACUGAGGCUCUCCCCCAAUCGUAGGUCAAUGGGGGAAAUACUGGGGGGGAAAGAGAGGGAGGGAGGGACAGGGAGAGGGGGAGAGAGAGAGAGAGAGGGAGAGAGAGAGAGAGAGAGAGAGAGAGAGAGAGAGAGAGGUGGCUCUUAUUUGAAUAAAGUAUUAUUAUUGGACUUGAUCUUUUGGGAGAAUACAGUGAGAAGAGAACAUUCUAGAAAAUGGCUGCUUGUUGAAAUAGGGGCAGAAAGACCUGGUACUACUCGUUCCCCAACCUUUUAACUUGUAAAGAGUCAUGGGUUAAUAUGCUGCCCUAGGCAUCGUAAGUGUACCCAGGGCAUUUUGGUAGUUAAGUGUCAAGUAAACUGUCUGAAGGUCCGCAAAUGGGAUAUUUAGAAUGCCUGACUGAACAGAUAGACCUCUGCCCAAGAGCCUGAUGAUGAGUAAGCAGCCACUUUGGCAGAUGGCCAGGGCAAAGGGUUCCAAGUCUGAGUACCACUGAUGAGAAUGUCUCAUCAUUUGAGAUUUGAGAUUAAAACUCUAAAGACUCAAACUUCUUGGUGCACCUGUUUGCAUCCCUGGUGGGGACAGGCCUGGAGGAGAGGGGGUCUGUCUAACACACUUAAGUCCCAGCCACCUUUCCAAGUGGUCUUGACCAAGGACAGCACACGCAUUCUUGACAUGUUCACUUGUGGACCACCUUGGUGUAAGGAAAUCAGGACUGGGGGGACAAACUCGGAUAUAGCUUUCAAGAUAUGAUCAGGCAUGAAAAUGAAAGUAACAUGUUGAAUAGGUGAAAGAAAAUUUUAUUUUAAAUUCUUUUUGAAUAAUAGCACAUUCUCAAGAAAUCCCUAGAAUUAAGUAUUUUUGUCAAUUAUUUAGUAAGUGCCUAAUUUGCUCUUGCUAGGGAAGAAAAUUACAUGGUUGUUCCUAAAUUAUUAAACAAUAUUUUCAUGGCAUUGACAGAGCAAGUAGCAAGGUAUUGACCAGUCACCCUGCUAUAGGAAAACUCUUGG
rnacentral:lncRNA from 1 species